GAGCGGCGAACGGGUGAGUAACACGUGAGCAACCUGCCCCACAGACCGGGAUAGCCCAGGGAAACCUGGAUUAAUACCGGAUACCCUCGAAGGAUCGCAUGGUCUAUCGAGGAAAUGCCUUUGUGCUGUGGGAUGGGCUCGCGACUUAUCAGUUAGUUGGUGGGGUAACGGCCUACCAAGACAAUGACGAGUAGCUGGUCUGAGAGGACGAUCAGCCACACUGGAACUGAGACACGGUCCAGACUCCUACGGGAGGCAGCAGCAGGGAAUCUUGCGCAAUGGGCGAAAGCCUGACGCAGCGACACCGCGUGGGGGAUGAAGGCCUUCGGGUUGUAAACCCCUUUCAGGAGGGAAGAAAUUGACGGUACCUCCACAAGAAGGACCGGCCAACUACGUGCCAGCAGCCGCGGUAAUACGUAGGGUCCGAGCGUUAUCCGGAAUCAUUGGGCGUAAAGAGCUCGUAGGCGGUUCAGCAAGUCGGCUGUGAAAGUUCGAGGCUCAACCUCGAAAUUGCAGUCGAUACUGCUGUGACUCGAGUCCGGUAGAGGAGAAUGGAAUUCCCGUGUAGCGGUGAAAUGCGCAGAUAUCG
rnacentral:rRNA from 1 species